rnacentral:miRNA from 1 species
AUUCUAAGUUUAGCUUCCUUCA